rnacentral:lncRNA from 1 species
CAAGAUUCCAAAGGUAACAAAAACUCCUGCUCAUGACUUUGACUUUAAUUCUCUCGGUUGGGCUACUCCGGUAGACAAAGCAUUUUUUACUAUGACUAUUAUAAAAGGUGAUUAUAUUGACACCAUAUUCUAAUUGCAGUUAAAAUUUUUAAUCUUUGUUCAUUGUAAUAAUUAUUUUUUUAAUUUUUUCGUCGAAUUCUUAUCUUCAUUCUUCUAUUAAUUAGUACAUUUCAUUUUUAUGAUGAUUUUAUAUUAAAAUAUUUUAUUUUCAUGCUUUGAAAUGAGGGGAAAAUAUUUUUUCACACUUUUCAUAAUUUUUUAUUAAAUAUGAUGAAAAAUAAAUUGUUUUCGCCAUUUCAACGAACUUUUGGAUAUAAAACUGUUAUCAAAUACAAAAUAUGUUAACUAACGAAAAGUUUGAAGAUAAGAAUAACAUAUAAAACUAUUAUGAACAUAUGUGCUAUAAUGAGCAAAGACUACGAACAUUAAGUGCCAUUAAAAUGUGAUACAAUAAAUAAAAAUUGUGGUGAAUAUAAUUACUCUAUUGACAAGUUAACUCCAUAAUCGAAUUGAAAAUCGAUGAACAAUGACCACUUGGUUGGGUAUGUUAGAAAGAAUAUGUAAAGCCCAAAAAAAUUUUAUAGUAGGAUUAAUUGUUUUCAAUGCUAUAUUUUUAUUUAUUUAUUCAUUUUGAAAGUUGAAGGACUGUAGAGAAAUAAAUUUUAAAUUCUCACUUUUGGAUCAAAUAAUUAAACUUUAAUAGAGCUAGAAUUAGUAUGCAAAUUUUGGAUUUUGUAUAUAGCUUGUAUUAAAUAAUGUACACUGGAAUCAAGAAAUAAUUAUUUCGAAUAAGUUAUGUUCAUGUUAUUAAGGUCGAAAGAUAUUACGUAAAUUUACAAUUAAUUGUGUUAAUAAUGAUUUUAAAACCUUCCCAUCUGACACGUUUGUUGGAAAAAAUAAAAAUAAAAAAAAUUAAACAUCUUUCUUAAUUGAUCAUGAUUUUAUUGAUGGAAAGACAAAGUAACUCUCUUAUUUUUAGAAGAUUUGAAUGAUUUGUUAUAUAAUAUAUUUUGGACAACUUUUGGCAUAGUACACAACAAUUAUGAAUUGGUGCCACCAAUGUGUCAGUUGUCAUUGCUUUGCAAUUAGAUAAAGAGGAAAUUUCAUAGAAUGUCCAAUUUCAUCUAGUCAUUUGCAAAAAUGUCCACAUUUUUUUUAAUGUCCAUUUUCGAAUUAUUUAGACAAAAAUACCCCUGUUAGGAAAUUCUAUUUCCACGCCCAAGACUCUUGGUUCAUUUUCCCCCAAAUUAACCCCAAUUUCAUAACCCUCAGAUUCCAAAUCGAUUACAUUUACUUGCUGUGAAAUCUGAAGGAGCGAUUGGGAGGGAUCUAGGGCGAUUUCAUGGCUGAAGGAGAAGGAAGGGGCUGCCGGCCGGCGAUUGGGGAUUGGGCAAAUCUGAAGGGAAGGGAACGGCAGGUUGGCAGCGUAACAACGUUUUCUAUGGAAUGUGAGCCAUUUCUCUUCUCUCUCUUUUUUUUUUGGUUUUGUUUUUGUUUUAUGCCACUGUAUCCAUGAUUUAUCAUCUAUGUUAUGUGAUUUGUGAAUGUUGAAAAUUUUGAAUAUUGAGUUUGAGUUGAUGUUGACUUGGACUGUUCACUAUUACGGUGUUGUUUGUUACAUGUUGGAACUUGGAAGCAGAAGUUGGAAGUACUUGGAACUUGGGUUUGGCCGUUUGGGUCACUUUGAAAAAAUAUUUGAUUUUUGGGUAUUCUUCUAAGUCAAGAUCUGCUGUUGUUGGAUUUAUUUGUAUUCCAAGAAAAUCACAUGGUGAUGAGGCGACAAUAAUGAAUAAUCCCAAUAACUUCCCAAACCAUGAGACCAAAAAUGAUUACUUCUUAGAGAGUUUCGCAUUCAGAUUAGAAGCCAUAUUUAGGAUGUUAAACAACCUGCAAGAAUUUGUAAAAACCCUAUUUCAUCUUAUUUCAUUUCAAACUCCUAAAUGAAUCAGCAUCAAGAUAUCUAUUAGAUCUAUUUGUAAAAAUCAUAUUUCGUCUUAUUUCAUUUCAAACUCCUAAAUGAAUCAACAUCAGGAUAUGUAUAAGAUCAAUUUGUAAAAACUCUAUUUCAUAUCUCAUAUCAUUAAGUUACAUGAUUAAGUCACAGGAAAAAGACCUAUAAUUAAUUGCACUCUGUAAAUAAAUUCAAUAAAAUAAAGAAAUCUCAUUUACAUAUAUAUUGAAUAAUUUUUAAUAUUAUUUAAUCAAAUUUUAAUAAACGACCAAGCUAUUAUGCUUGUUGAUUGUCGACGGUCAAUGGAUAAUGGUCAACCUCCGCCCUAACUGGACUUUGGUGUUGGAUUCACCACUAAGUAGGGUAUAAGGUUUUAGAACUACCCAUUCUCUAUUUUUGCUUCAAUAACAUGAACUAUUUUAAAAUGUUUUGGUAUUAACCGAGAUUUGUUAUAAUUUCAACAAUUAAACAGCUUAGUUUAGAUAUGGUAUUUUAUCAAACCAUUGUAUUGUAAAAAUCAUUUUUCUUUUACUGCAUUAUAAACGAGAAUGCUAUAUUUGAUUUCGUUUGUACGUUCUCAUACUAUUUGUCAAAGUGUUGUUUUCAUUUCUUUUGAUUUGUAGAUGAGUAUGACACACCGAUAUGAAAUUUCGGAGGAAGAACUUGUUCCGACCCAUGUGUCGCAGGUGAGCAACACAAAAUACAUAUCAGUUGUCCUCAAUAACUUGGAUCCACAACAAAAGCGUAAGUUGGAGGAGAGUUGUAUAGGACAUGUUGCAAAGUUAUCGGAGCUGAAACUAUCUGCUCAAUUAAUUCAUGAAAUGGUAAACAAAUCGGUGGUCUGCCGAAAGCGGUUUGAGGCUUGGUUCAACGUGAACCAAAGGUUUGCACGAUUUGGACUGUCAGAGUUCGCACUAAUUACCGGCUUGAAGUGCGAUCCAAUGCCUAAAGGUACCGAAAUUGACAAAAUCCUAGAGAAAACUCAUCUAUAGAAUAGAAUGUUUGCUAAUAUGGACCGGAUAACUUGUAGCGACUUCGAGAAAGUUUUUUUGAAAUGUGCCAACCGUAACAAUCGUUACAAGCUUGGGUUAAUACUAAUUAUUGAAGCGAUAUUUAAUUUAAGAGAUCGAAAUGUAGGAAUACAUCUGACAACUCUCUCCAUCGUUGACGACUUGGAUUUUUUCAAUGUCUACCCAUGGGAAACGGUAUGUUUUCAACUUCUCAUCAAAUCACUGGUACGUGGAUGGAGAAGAAAUGCGGACAUGGUAAAAGUAAACAAUUGUGAUAGGAUGACUUACACGUUGUACGGAUUUCCUCUUCGUGUCUAGGUAUACAUCUAUUUUGGUUCAUUUCAGUUCUUUUCAUCGCACAUUGUUAUUUACCUCCAAAUAUGGUUAUUACUGUUAUAAAUGUCAUGCAGAUUUCGGCGUAUGAGGCAAUCCCAGAGUUAGGAGCUCGAUUCUCAAGUAAGACUUGUGACGAUGUCCCGAGAAUGUUGCGGUGGUCUGACACGAAACAACCUCAUUCUCGGACAUAUUCAGAUUUUUUUGAGAAGACAGAUAUAAGCGAUUUACAUACAUAAUUGCCUUACACUUUUGCAAUAUAUAAUAUUUUAUUUAGCCUAUUUUUCCUUUCCCUAUAGGUGCACUUGUGGGUAACGCUGCGUGCAACUACUGCAGAAGAAUUGUAACCGUACUUCACCGAUCUAAUUCCAUUGGAAGACGCAGCUGAACCAAUUCGAGAUGGUCUUAUUGGUCAAUCAGUAGAAAUACAAGCUUGUUCAGUUGAAGAUGAUGUCAUAUGGAAUGAUGAAAACAACCAUCGACCAAAUAAAUCCCAAAGAGGCAACAAACGUGGACCUCGUCAUCGAGGUUUGCAUCACGUUGAAGGCAGAGAAGAAGAGCAUGGGGAUCCGAUCAUCGAAAGGCCUGUGCGUUUAGAUGAGAUAAGAGCUAUCUUGAACGAACAACGAGAGGCAUUUUAGAGCAAAAUGGGUGAUUUGAGGGAAUAGAUGAACACAAGAUUCGCUAGUCUCCAAAAUGAUCUUGGAGGUCAUGUGUGUGGUUUGAGAAAUCAUGUCACUGAUGAGAUCAAUGUGCUUCGACGAAGGUUUGAUGAAGUUGCUAUAGAAAUUGGGCAACACAAUGUUGCUGCUGAGUAUGGUGGAUUUGGUCAUGACGAUCGCGGUGGAGACGAGACCCGACGUGAUGUUUUAACCCUCAAUAUUUCUGCGAACAGACAGGAUGUUGGAGAGGCAACUGUACUAGUUGUUUGCAAUAUCCUUGAUGUGUCCAUAACGUCGGGAGGUGGGGUUGGAGCACUUGCGUCAGUAUAUGUUGCUUGUGAUAUUGUGAAAGAGGCACCAGCCAUUGUACCUACAGUUGGUGUGACCGUUGAUGAUCAGCUGGUUCAUGAUAGUGUCGUUUUUGGACCUUUGAUGGCAGCUGAUCCACCUACACGUAGACCUCGAUCGUUGAGGUUGAAGAAGGCUUGUGCGAACAUAAAAAUGUCAUACACCCGAUCUGGUCGCAAGAGGGGUAAGAGGGAUACGUAAUCUGUGUAUUUUGGUUGACGGCACAUAAUGGUGAUUGGAUAUGAACUUCAGGUUGACUCGAAUUGAGAGGUUCUCAUAUUUGGGUUUAUAUAGUGGUUUUUCAAUGUGUAUUUUGGUUUAUGUAGUGGUACGUAAUAUGUAUUUUGGUUUACACAGUGAUUUGCAUAUUUUUGUUUAUAUGGUGG